UACGUAGGGUACAAGCAUUAAUCGGAAUUAUUGGGCGUAAAGGGCGCGUAGGCGGAAGUGUAAGUCAGGUGUGAAAUACCAAAGCUCAACUUUGGUGCUGCAUUUGAAACUGCAUUUCUUGAGGACUGACGGAGAAAGCGGAAUUCCACGAGUAGCGGUGAAAUGCGUAGAUACGUGGAGGAACACCGGUGGCGAAAGCGGCUUUCUAGUUUUGACCUGACGCUGAGGCGCGAGAGCAAGGGGAGCAAACAGG
rnacentral:rRNA from 1 species